ACGUUACAUUUUGAGAGGUGCAUGUCAGGCUACGGCUUAGGGUCCGGCGUAGGUUUGUGUCUCCAUGUACCUACAUACGUAGCUACAGCAUAGAUUUUACGCAGAAGUAUAAAUCGCGCUUGACUGUGCAGC